rfam:Brassica rapa chromosome A5, whole genome shotgun sequence.
GAACAUUAUUUUACGGUGGUCAAAUUUAUAGACAUGGAAGAUACAUAGAAGAUUAACUUGUCCCAUGCGCAAGGAUGAUACGCACAAAUAAAAAAAUUGUCCAAAUUUUU